GGAGGGCGGUCCCAGGUGUGUGUUGUAGGGUGGCUGUGUUCUGAUGUGUUAUGACUAUCACUUCGGCCCAGGGACCAAGCUGACGGUUGUAGAUGAUUUGAGCCGGGUCCACCCGCCCAAGGUGGCUGUGUUCGAACCCUCGGAGGCAGAGAUCUCCCGGACCCAGAAGGCCACGCUCGUGUGCCUGGCCACGGGCUUCUACCCCGACCACGUGGAGCUGACCUGGUGGGUGAACAGGAAACAGGUCACAACUGGAGUCAGCACGGACCCUGAGCCCUAUAAGGAGGACCCCACACGGGAUGAUUCCAGAUACUGUCUGAGCAGCAGGCUGAGGGUGACCGCCGCCUUCUGGCACAACCCCCGCAACCACUUCCGAUGCCAAGUCCAGUUCCACGGGCUCACGGACCAGGACCAGUGGGAGGAACAGGACAGGGACAAGCCUGUCACCCAGAACAUCAGCGCCGAGGCCUGGGGCAGAGCAGACUGUGGCAUCACCUCCGCGUCUUAUCAGCAAGGCGUCCUGUCUGCCACCCUCCUCUAUGAGAUCCUGCUGGGGAAGGCCACCCUGUACGCUGUGCUGGUCAGCGCCCUGGUGCUGAUGGCCAUGGUCAAGAGAAAAGAGUCCUGAAGCCAGCUUCCAGCCUGUUACUGCCUUGAUGGGAAUUCUGCUUUUCCCGUUCCUACCCAGUGCUUCUGAAGAGCUGCCCUCAUCUCUGGACUCAACGCAGUGUCCACAGCCACGUGAGGGUGCCCCAAACUCUCAGGACCAGGAUCUCCCUAACCCAGGGCAGACCCUAGGGGGACUGAACUUCCUGAACCAAUAAAAAUGCUCUGUUCUGGCUUGA